rnacentral:ncRNA from 1 species
UGACGCGCAUUUAGCUGCGGUCUUCAUCGAUCCAUGAGCCUAGUGAUCCCCUGCCAAGGGUUAUGUUAUAGUCGUUCGAAUUAUGUCUCACGAGUGGAACACCACAACCACAGGGCAUUGCUUGAGUUGCCUCAUGUGUUGUGACACCGUGUUCCACACUGCCCCAGGGCAAGUUACUUGGGUAACCAAACCAUCUCCUCGGAAGGUAACCGCGUUCACCAUACCCCAAGGGAACACCGAAUGUCGCCCACCUCCACGACCCGUCGUCGAUCACGGAGGUUGCAACACAUGUUUGUGGACCAUCACACACCACGGGGCCUUGCGGCCCGUACGGUAUGCGAAUUUAUUCCACGCACCGCUAGCAGUGGAGCUACUAAGGAGCCAAACCAUCAUGGAAUGCUACCUUUUCGUACCACACGCUCACUGGGCUGCACUAACCGCUGGUCCACCUCGGCAAGCGAGUUGGCUUGUGUUCCACACGACUAAUACACCCAAUCGAAGUACUCGUGCGUUCUAAGCCAGCUACUGAGGUACCUCUGCCACUUGCAUGGCAGCGGACCUGUUUGCUAGCAAAGAACAACAUACUGGUUAUCACCUCUGCAUGAUCAUCGGGGACUCGUCUACGUGGCCGUAGUCAAGUGUAAGCGUUCAAAAGUCCACCAGUGCUCUCUUUCACCAGUGGACAGGGUUUCCUUCUGAUCACCGAGUUUGCCUGUUUACCCAGAUGUUUCCCGAUCCGCAGAGCACACUGGAGAACCCAGUGGCUCCCGAUCGAGGCAACGCGUCGGGACAUCGCUUUACCAGUCCUUCCACGUUCAAGUACUCCGACGAGCGAGGGAACUACUCUGGAGCCAAACCAUCUCCUCGGAAGGCAACCUUUUCGUUCCACACACUCGCAGUGCUGCAUUACCGGUGGUCCACCUCGGCGCGUCUUAGGGUCCCGGCUAAGGGACACCAUCAGAGCACGCGAGUUCGCCCGUGGACCACACGACUAAUGCACCCGAUCGAAACACUCAGGGCAUUCCUAGCUGGCUGCUGAGGAACCGACUGCCACUUGCAUGGCAGCAGUCCUCUGUUUGCCAAAUAGUUACGCAACAUACUGGUUAUCACCUCUGCAUGAUCAUCAGGGGACUCGUCUACGGGGCCGUAGUCAAGUGUAAGCGUUCAAAAGUCCACCAGUGCUCUCUUUCANNNNNNNNNNCACCUGCCGAAGCAAUUAGCCCUUAAAAUGGAUGGCGCUCAAGUCGUUUGCCUAUACAUUGCCGCUAGCGGUAUGGCGCAUCGGGGGCUUAACCACCCUGCGAUGAAACCCUAGCGAGUAGGAGGGUACGGUGGUGCGCGUCGAAGUGUCUGGCGCAAGCCGGCAUGGAGCCGCCACUGGCACAGAUCUUGGUGGUAGUAGCAAAUAUUCGAACGAGCUCUUGGAUGACUGAAGUGGAGAAGGGUUUCGUGUCAACAGCAGUUGAACACGAGUUAGCCAAUCCUAAGCCGCAUGGGAAAUCUGAUUCAAACGCGAUCCACCGUACGCGGCUGGAAACACACAUCGCGCGCGAUCAAGCGAAAGGGAAUCCGGUUACCAUUCCGGAGCCUGUUGAGUACCCGUUUGCCUGGCGCGUUCGGUUCCCCCCGGGGGAUCGUACCGCCUUGCGAUCAUGGCAACAUGAAUCCUUUUCUUCGAGAAGCCAACGGGAGGUACUGGAAGAGUUUUCUUUUCUGUUUUACAGUCACCACUGACCAUGGAAGUCUUUCGUAGAGAGAUAUGGUUGGACGCACUGGUAGAGCAUGGUAUUAAAUUGCCGUGUCGAUGCACUCUUCUUGGACCGUGAAAAUCGAAGACUGGGGCACGCAAACUCUCAACAGCUUGUACCGAAUCCGCAGCAGGUCNNNNNNNNNNUCCCUACCGAACUAGAC